AUAGUACUCCUUCCGUCCAACAAAGGAUGUCUCAACUUUCACUAAAUUUGAAUGCAUCUAUACACUAAGUCAUGUCUAGAUACAUUUAAAUUUUGAAAAAUUUGAGACAUCUUUUGUUGGACGGAGGGAGUAGUAC
rfam:Brachypodium distachyon strain Bd21 chromosome 4, whole genome shotgun sequence.